rnacentral:piRNA from 1 species
UAUGAAGGGACUGUCAUGUCAGC